rnacentral:tRNA from 1 species
AUUUUUGUAGUAUAAAAAGUAUUUGGGUUUUCCAAACCUAAGGUCUCCAGAUAGCGAGUAAAGGUA